ACUUAUUCAGAGACAUAAUUAAAUAUGUCGUCUUUCUUGCCAUUUGUUCUGAGAAAAAUCCUAACAAAUAGACAUACCUACUUGCAAAUCAAAUAUCCUUGUAAUUCUACUUAAAUUAAACAAAUUUCGAAGAAUCAAUAUCACGAUCAUAUUCUAUUAGGUAUUUACGUAAAGUCGAAAAACCCCGUCGCAAACUCAAACCACACGGCAACUAAAAAUAAAUAAUACAAAAAGUUCUUCCAGUACACAAGUCGUGUCUCAUAAUCGAAGCCCUUGGCCCUAGACGACGUUACCUGCCCCUGUAUUUAACUAAAAAUAUACUGGUUACAACUUACACGGUGAAUAAACACUAGUUAACCCAACCAAGUAAAAAAUUACCACGUCUUUAAGUAAUAGUGUAGGUGAGAGUAUAUUUUUUAUUUGGUCGGGUUAUACAGCGCCGGCGCAUGGCAUGAUGUUUUUCUGUUUUCUCUGUCAGUUGUUCUCGCGCAUCGAUCGUGUCGCGUCGCGUAGAUCAUCGAUCGUUGAAGAAAAUCCCAAUUUUUUUCAUCUGUUAUUACUAGUGUUAUCAAAAGUUUUGUAACAAGCAGUGAAUAAUUUGGCGGACAUUUUCUUUUAUAAACAAUUUGUUAUCAAACUCGGUAGUCAUUUUGUGUAUCUGUAUGCUGUAUAGAUAAGAGUGAUAGUGACUUGUUUAAACAUUCUUAACCUAAAGUUUUAUUUACGAAAAUGAGUGCAAGUGUAAGACUGUGAUACUAUACCUACUGUAAUACCUAUCAAUGUUGUGAUUAGAACAAAUUAGUGCGUUUUGUGAAACCUAGUGGAAGUCUAGUGUUGUCUUCAAAAUCCUUCAAAAUUCCGGAUUACGCAGCAUCGGAGGGGCAAAUGGGCCUCUUCCAA
rnacentral:lncRNA from 1 species